rnacentral:lncRNA from 10 species
CUCACAGGUCCUAAAGAGUGAGAUUCCUGGGUUAUAAAGCUGGAAUUAGGUUUACUUUUAAAAAGAUUUAUAUAUAUCUCAAAGCCACAGGGAAAGAAUAUGCAAGUACAUAUUUUUGAAAGAAAGUGUUCUGGGAAAAAAAAAAAAAGUAGAAGGGUAUGUCUCCCUACAUGAGGGAGAGUUAUUAUUUUUUUCUUCUUAGUUACACCUUCUCCUUACCAUUCAAAUUAUCCUGCUUGCCUUUAUCCUUGUCUGUCAGGACAAGGAAUGGGUGAAUGUUUCCUGUUGACCAGAUGUGACUGAGAGAGAGAAAUCCACGUGGGAUAUGUUCUAUCCUAUAGGGUCCUGUUGGAGAGGAUGAGGGAAGACCUCAGAAGAAAGGCUUGAAAGUAUCUUGAUGCCCAAUGGCUACAGAAGGAGCUCUGAGAGGCGCCCAAAUCAGAGGUGCUUUCUGCCCACCUGAAGAAAGUUUUUCAGAGAAGGCCCACAGGAACAUUUUACUAAUAGAGUGUUGAACAUGGCUAGGAACACAUCAACUGCUGAUCAAUGGAGAAGAGGCCUAAGGAAGAGAGUAGAGAACAUGCCCUUCCUGAUGGCAGACCCCAGGCUGAGCAAGACCCAAAAAGAUGGGGGUAGUCAUUGCUCCUCAUAUUGAUGGAAAACUCCUGCUAGCACAGCCCUACUUUGAGGAACGUUGUUGCUUUUCUUCUCAGCUCCUGUCCAUUGUCUGCAUGGAAGUAACCACUACACAAGAUCUCAGGCACGGGCAAUCUGCUAGACAUCUUUGAUUUGUAAAAUGAUUAUCGAGAGAAUGAGAGCUUGUAGUUCUCUCUCUCCCAAGUUUACUUAGAGAUUUCCUUCUUAGUUUAGUUGUACAUCCUGAGGUACAUGCUAUUUCUUCAACUGAUGAAUACCAUGAAUUCCUCCACUUUCAGGGAAGACCAAAACCUCAAUAUACAAGAAUUGUUUUUUUCCCUCAGUUCAACCUCAAAUCAAUAACAAAACCAUGAAUUAUAACUCGUAUAACUCAGUUAUAACUGAGAAGACUCAUUUCAUCCCACAGGAUAUAGAUAUGUAAAUAAACAAUUAUCAUCAAGUAAGCAGGAG